rnacentral:rRNA from 1 species
AGUCGAACGGAAAGGCCCCUUCGGGGGUACUCGAGUGGCGAACGGGUGAGUAACACGUGGGUGAUCUGCCCUGCACUUUGGGAUAAGCCUGGGAAACUGGGUCUAAUACCGAAUAGGACCGCAUGCUUCAUGGUGUGUGGUGGAAAGCUUUUGCGGUGUGGGAUGGGCCCGCGGCCUAUCAGCUUGUUGGUGGGGUAAUGGCCUACCAAGGCGACGACGGGUAGCCGGCCUGAGAGGGUGUCCGGCCACACUGGGACUGAGAUACGGCCCAGACUCCUACGGGAGGCAGCAGUGGGGAAUAUUGCACAAUGGGCGCAAGCCUGAUGCAGCGACGCCGCGUGGGGGAUGACGGCCUUCGGGUUGUAAACCUCUUUCAGUAUCGGCGAAGCUCCAAGGUUUUCUUUGGGGUGACGGUAGGUACAGAAGAAGCACCGGCCAACUACGUGCCAGCAGCCGCGGUAAUACGUAGGGUGCGAGCGUUGUCCGGAAUUACUGGGCGUAAAGAGCUCGUAGGUGGUUUGUCACGUUGUCCGUGAAAACUCACAGCUUAACUGUGGGCGUGCGGGCGAUACGGGCAGACUAGAGUACUGUAGGGGAGACUGGAAUUCCUGGUGUAGCGGUGGAAUGCGCAGAUAUCAGGAGGAACACCGGUGGCGAAGGCGGGUCUCUGGGCAGUAACUGACGCUGAGGAGCGAAAGCGUGGGGAGCGAACAGGAUUAGAUACCCUGGUAGUCCACGCCGUAAACGGUGGGUACUAGGUGUGGGUUUCCUUCCUUUAGGGAUCCGUGCCGUAGCUAACGCAUUAAGUACCCCGCCUGGGGAGUACGGCCGCAAGGCUAAAACUCAAGGAAAUUGAC